CCACAGCGAUGUGGUCUCAGCAAAGAGUCCCUCCCGACUGUUUACCAAAAACACAGCACUUUGCCAACUCGUAAGAGGAAGUAUAAGGUGUGACGCCUGCCCGGUGCUCGAAGGUUAAGAGGAUGCGUCAGUCGCAAGAUGAAGCGUUGAAUUGAAGCCCGAGUAAACGGCGGCCGUAACUAUAACGGUCCUAAGGUAGCGAAAUUCCUUGUCGGUUAAAUACCGACCUGCAUGAAUGGCGUAACGAGAUGGGAGCUGUCUCAACCAGAGAUUCAGUGAAAUUGUAGUGGAGGUGAAAAUUCCUCCUACCCGCGGCAAGACGGAAAGACCCCGUGGACCUUUACUACAACUUAGCACUGCUAAUGGGAAUAUCAUGCGCAGGAUAGGUGGGAGGCUCUGAAGUAAGGGCUUUGGCUCUUAUGAG
rnacentral:rRNA from 1 species